UCGAGGGGAAACGGCAUUGAGUGCUUGCACUCUUUGGACGUCGACCGGCGCACGGGUGAGUAACGCGUAUCCAACCUUCCCAUUACUGUGGGAUAACCUGCCGAAAGGCAGACUAAUACCGCAUAGUCUUCGAUGACGGCAUCAGAUUUGAAGUAAAGAUUUAUCGGUAAUGGAUGGGGAUGCGUCUGAUUAGCUUGUUGGCGGGGUAACGGCCCACCAAGGCAACGAUCAGUAGGGGUUCUGAGAGGAAGGUCCCCCACAUUGGAACUGAGACACGGUCCAAACUCCUACGGGAGGCAGCAGUGAGGAAUAUUGGUCAAUGGGCGGAAGCCUGAACCAGCCAAGUAGCGUGCAGGAGGACGGCCCUAUGGGUUGUAAACUGCUUUUAUGCGGGGAUAAAGUGAGGGACGCGUCCCUUUUUGCAGGUACCGUAUGAAUAAGGACCGGCUAAUUCCGUGCCAGCAGCCGCGGUAAUACGGAAGGUCCGGGCGUUAUCCGGAUUUAUUGGGUUUAAAGGGAGCGUAGGCCGGGGAUUAAGUGUGUUGUGAAAUGUAGGCGCCCAACGUCUGACUUGCAGCGCAUACUGGUUCCCUUGAGUACGCGCAACGCCGGCGGAAUUCGUCGUGUAGCGGUGAAAUGCUUAGAUAUGACGAAGAACCCCGAUUGCGAAGGCAGCCGGCGGGAGCGCAACUGACGCUGAAGCUCGAAGGUGCGGGUAUCGAACAGGAUU
rnacentral:rRNA from 1 species